AGUGAACGCUGGCGGUAGGCCUAACACAUGCAAGUCGAACGGCAGCACAGUAAGAGCUUGCUCUUACGGGUGGCGAGUGGCGGACGGGUGAGGAAUACAUCGGAAUCUACUUUUUCGUGGGGGAUAACGUAGGGAAACUUACGCUAAUACCGCAUACGACCUACGGGUGAAAGCAGGGGAUCUUCGGACUUUGCGCGAUUGAAUGAGCCGAUGUCGGAUUAGCUAGUUGGCGGGGUAAAGGCCCACCAAGGCGACGAUCCGUAGCUGGUCUGAGAGGAUGAUCAGCCACACUGGAACUGGGACACGGUCCAGACUCCUACGGGGGGCAGCAGUGGAGAAUAUUGGACAAUGGUCGCAAGCCUGAUCCAGCCAUACCGCGUGGGUGAAGAAGGCCUUCGGGUUGUAAAGCCCUUUUGUUGGGAAAGAAAAGCAGCAGGUUAAUACCCCGAUGUUCUGACGGUACCCAAAGAAUAAGCACCGGCUAACUUCGUG
rnacentral:rRNA from 1 species